UCUGUUCCAGUUGUAGCACAGGCUCCUGCUCCUGCCGAAGAAUCUGUUCCAGUUGUAGCACAGGCUCCUGCUCCUGCCGAAGAAUCUGUUCCAGUUGUAGCACAGGCUCCUGCUCCUGCCGAAGAAUCUGUUCCAGUUGUAGCACAGGCUUCUGCCGAAGAAUCUGUUCCAGUUGUAGAACGUGCUCCUGCUGAAGAAUGUGAUCCAAUGGAAGAAUGUGUUCCAACAGAAGGAUGAAUUGCUCUCAAGUCUGUUUUGACUUUGAAGAUGUAGGUAAAGGAGAGC
rnacentral:lncRNA from 1 species